rnacentral:rRNA from 1 species
GGAUAACCUGCCCUAUUGUCUGGAAUAACCUCGGGAAACUGAGAACAAGGCCGGAUAGCCCACAAUGCCUGGAACGGUUUGUGGGUGAAGAUAGGAUGGGUCUGCGGCGUAUCAGGUUGUAGGGGGUGUAAUGGACCUCCUAGCCAUCGACGCGUACGGGUGUUGGGAGACAUAGCCCGGAGAUGGAUUCUGAGACACGAAUCCAGACCCUACGGGGUGCAGCAGGCGCGAAAACUUCACACUGCAGGAAACUGUGAUGAGGGAACUCCAAGUGCUAUCACUAUGUGGUAGCUUUUCUUGACUAUUAAUCGGUCAUGGAAUAAGGGCUGGGAAAGACCGGUGCCAGCCGCCGCGGUAAUACCGGCAGCUCAAGUGGUCGUCGCUUUUAUUGGGCCUAAAACGUCCGUAGCCUGUUUGGUAAAUCUGUGGGUAAAUCAACCAGCUUAACUGGUUGAAUUCUGCAGAGACUGCCAGACUAGGGACCGGGAGAGAUGUGGGGUACUCUAGGGGUAGGGGUAAAAUCCUGUCAUCCUUAGAGGACCACCAGUUGCGAAGGCGCCACACUGGAACGGAUCCGACGGUCAGGGACGAAGCCUAGGGGCACGAACCGGAUUAGAUACCCGGGUAGUCCUAGGUGUAAACGCUGUGAACUUGGUGUCGGGGAUCCGUAAUGGGUCCUCGGUGCCGGAGUGAAGAUGUUAAGUUCACUGCCUGGGGAGUACGGUCGCAAGGCUGAAACUU